AUGUAAUGUAAUUCCUACAGUAUUAAUGCACCAAAUCCGACUAGAAAUCUAUAGUCAAGUGAAUUUGGGAUAGAUUAGUACUGGGAUGGGUGACCUCAUAGGAAGUCCUAGUGUAUUGCAUG
rfam:Picea glauca, whole genome shotgun sequence.